AUUAACAUGAUGUUUGUACACCUUACCCUUAAUUUAUCUUCUUGAUCUCUCCUUUACGCUUCACUACUCCAGGCCGGUGUCUUCUCCGUCCACGUCUAGGAACUUGAAUGAUUUCUUCCUCGUCGUCGGUGACCUCGGCUUGCGCAUCAGCCUUCGCCAUGGUGGCCCGCACUCCCCGAACGGUGUCGGGCAGCUUCUCCUCUAGCACCGGGGAGAAGAUGGGAUCAGGGUAAUGUACGGAUGGCUUGAAAGCCAAGAUUAGCUCCAACUCGUCGUCUGGCAGCCGAAAAGUCUUCUUCUUCGUCUUUUUCUUUAUCACCUCCUUCUGCUGCACCGCGCUGGCUGCAUCAUCGUCAAUUACGGCCGUAUCAGCUAUCAUCGCCUUCCGCUGCUCCUCGGAUGAAAUUGAGCUCGACAUCGAUCAAAACGUUGUAAUAGCCUGCGAUUUGUUGCAAGACAAAACCAAAAAGCCUCUGAGAGCAAUUUAUAUGAGUCUCGCCGGACGGAGAUCUUGUCGGACUCCGCUCCCGGCCCGAAUCAUGGUCGACCAGUAUUACA